rnacentral:rRNA from 1 species
UACGUAGGGUGCAAGCGUUGUCCGGAAUUAUUGGGCGUAAAGAGCUCGUAGGCGGUCUGUCGCGUCUGCUGUGAAAACUCAGGGCUUAACCCUGAGCUUGCAGUGGGUACGGGCAGACUAGAGUGCGGUAGGGGAGACUGGAAUUCCUGGUGUAGCGGUGAAAUGCGCAGAUAUCAGGAGGAACACCGGUGGCGAAGGCGGGUCUCUGGGCCGAUAUUGACGCUGGAGGAGCGAAAGCGUGGGGAGCGAACAGG